rnacentral:rRNA from 1 species
GAUGAACGCUGGCGGCGUGCCUAAUACAUGCAAGUCGAGCGAACAGACGAGGAGCUUGCUCCUCUGACGUUAGCGGCGGACGGGUGAGUAACACGUGGAUAACCUACCUAUAAGACUGGGAUAACUUCGGGAAACCGGAGCUAAUACCGGAUAAUAUAUUGAACCGCAUGGUUCAAUAGUGAAAGACGGUUUUGCUGUCACUUAUAGAUGGAUCCGCGCCGCAUUAGCUAGUUGGUAAGGUAACGGCUUACCAAGGCAACGAUGCGUAGGCGACCUGAGAGGGUGAUCGGCCACACUGGAACGUGGACACGGUCCAGGCUCCUACGGGAGGCAGCAGUAGGGAAUCUGCCGCAAUGGGCGAAAGCCUGACGGAGCAACGCCGCGUGAGUGAUGAAGGUCUUCGGAUCGUAAAACUCUGUUAUUAGUGAAGAACAAAUGUGUAAGUAACUAUGCACGUCUUGACGGUACCUGAUCAGAAAGCCACGGCUAACUACGUG